rnacentral:piRNA from 1 species
UGCUCAGGAAUGAUGGAGGCUUACCUGAU